rfam:Myotis lucifugus cont2.43092, whole genome shotgun sequence.
GGCAGUUUUUGGGUGAGCACCCCAGAAUCAGGCUCCCUCUUCUCUGGUUCCAGGUGCAUCACCCGAGAACCGCA